UACGUAGGGGGCUAGCGUUGUCCAGAAUCAUUGGGCGUAAAGAGCGUGUAGGCGGUCCGGUAAGUCCGCUGUGAAAGUCGGGGGCUCAACCCUCGAAUGCCGGUGGAUACUGUCGGGCUAGAGUGCGGAAGAGGCGAGUGGAAUUCCUGGUGUAGCGGUGAAAUGCGCAGAUAUCAGGAGGAACACCUAUUGCGAAGGCAGCUCGCUGGGACGUAACUGACGCUGGAGACGCGAAAGCGUGGGGAGCAAACAGG
rnacentral:rRNA from 1 species